UACGUAGGGCGCAAGCGUUAUCCGGAAUUAUUGGGCGUAAAGAGCUCGUAGGCGGUUUGUCGCGUCUGCCGUGAAAGUCCGGGGCUCAACUCCGGAUCUGCGGUGGGUACGGGCAGACUAGAGUGAUGUAGGGGAGACUGGAAUUCCUGGUGUAGCGGUGAAAUGCGCAGAUAUCAGGAGGAACACCGAUGGCGAAGGCAGGUCUCUGGGCAUUAACUGACGCUGAGGAGCGAAAGCUAGGGUAGCGAACGGG
rnacentral:rRNA from 1 species